GAUGAACGCUAGCGGCAGGCUUAAUACAUGCAAGUCGAGGGGCAUCAAGGUACACGAAAGUGUAUUGUUGGCGACCGGCGGACGGGUGAGUAAUAGGUAGGUAACCUACCUCAUACUGAGGCAUAGCUGGGAGAAAUUCCAGGUAAUUCCUCAUGAGGUUAUAUGACACAUGUGAUAUAAUCAAAGGUAUCGCAAGGUACUGGUAUGAGAUGGGCUUACUGACCAUUAGCUAGUUGGUGAGAUAAGAGCUCACCAAGGCGAAGAUGGUUAGGGGUUUUGAGAGAGAGAUCCCCCACAUUGGAACUGAGAUACGGUCCAGACUCCUACGGGAGGCAGCAGUAGGGAAUAUUGGGCAAUGGGCGAAGCCUGACCCAGCCAUGCCGCGUGAAGGAAGACGGCCUUAUGGGUUGUAAACUUCUUUACUAUGCGACUAACUAGAUUUACGAGAUAAUUCUAUAGAAUGUAGCAUAGCAAAAGCACCGG
rnacentral:rRNA from 1 species